rnacentral:rRNA from 1 species
GAUGAACGCUGGCGGCGUGCCUAAUACAUGCAAGUCGAGCGAACGGACGAGAAGCUUGCUUCUCUGAUGUUAGCGGCGGACGGGUGAGUAACACGUGGAUAACCUACCUAUAAGACUGGGAUAACUUCGGGAAACCGGUGCUAAUACCGGAUAAUAUUUUGAACCGCAUGGUUCAAAAGUGAAAGACGGUCUUGCUGUCACUUAUAGAUGGAUCCGCGCUGCAUUAGCUAGUUGGUAAGGUAACGGCUUACCAAGGCAACGAUGCAUAGCCGACCUGAGAGGGUGAACGGCCACACUGGAACUGAGACACGGUACAGACACCUACGGGAGGCAGAAGUAGGGAAUCUUCCGCAAUGGGCGAAAGCCUGAAGGAGCAACGCAGCGUGAGUGAUGAAGGUCUUCGGAUCGUAAAACUCUGUUAUUAGGGAAGAACAUAUGUGUAAGUAACUGUGCACAUCUUGACGGUACCUAAUCAGAAAGCCACGGCUAACUACGUG